AUGAUAUUCUCGGCCUGUCAUUUAUUCUUAGAGAACCCCUUGUACGAAAACACGACAAAGGUACAGACUUGGGCACCCAAACAACCCUCUCCGAGGCCCUGUGUGCAAACAGCCCAGAGCAGAAUACUGACCCAGAACGCACUGAAGACUCCGACACAAGCUCGAGCCCAUGAAAAAAGCCGUAUAUAUCAGAACACGCACCCAACGACGCGGAGCUGCACACAGAAAACGGAGGCCUCGCGAACGCGUGUACAAACUGAGUCCAAGACAGCUACUUAUGAAAAUGUGAGAGCAGCAAAACCAGCGAGGAAACACCCAAACAAAGUCAGACCGAAGGUGUAGAACGCAUCAUAACGGCCGUUAUACAAACGUUUUACAACGUAAUUCUAUUUAUGAUGCAGCCCUCUAUUCUGUUCAUUUAGACAGAGUCUUCAAUUCAACAGGACAUCCUCUGAUCUGCCAAGCACAGUAUUUUUUCUCUCCCAUUAGAAAUAACUGAACUCAUCGGUUUUGAAGUGUUAGCUAUGUUAAUUCAUUUCAUAUUGUAACUGAGAUUAACUUUGUAACUGAGAUUAAUUUUGUAAUUUUGUAAGCCUGCAAUCAUCUGAAGGUAACAGGUUGUUAAUUAUGAAUAUUAAAGAAUAUGGUAUGCCAUUAAGCAGAGUGUGUAUUAAUGUCAUACAUUUACGACACUUGAAUCCCUUCAACUUUGUCUCAAAAUAGCCCCUGAAUAAGGCUGUUUACAGUAUAACAUAGAGCAACAUUUGUGAAUCAGGUGUGGAAAUGAACUGUCGCAAUAUCAUUUGAGUAGUUCCUGGUAACUCCUUUAUCACAAGGUCUACAGCUGCAGUUUAUUUUGAUGUUCACUCUCCUUGUCCAGGCAAAGGUCACAGAACUUGCAAGGUAACAUUACAAACCCUUGUGUUUAAUUUUAAUCUCAACAAGUACAUAUGAGGAAUCCAUGAAAUAAUCAGAUCAAUUAAGUUCACCUGAGGAUACUAUAUGAUAUCGCUUUCUGCGAGCAGGUUAUCAGUGACAAGUGUUUACC
rnacentral:lncRNA from 1 species